GACGAACGCUGGCGGCGUGCCUAAUACAUGCAAGUUGAGCGAUGAAGAUUGGUGCUUGCGCCAAUUUGAAGAGCAGCGAACGGGUGAGUAACGCGUGGGGAAUCUGCCUUUGAGCGGGGGACAACAUUUGGAAACGAAUGCUAAUACCGCAUAACAACUUUAAACAUAAGUUUUAAGUUUGAAAGAUGCAAUUGCAUCACUCAAAGAUGAUCCCGCGUUGUAUUAGCUAGUUGGUGAGGUAAAGGCUCACCAAGGCGAUGAUACAUAGCCGACCUGAGAGGGUGAUCGGCCACAUUGGGACUGAGACACGGCCCAAACCCCUACGGGAGGCAGCAGGAGGGAAUCUUCGGCAAUGGAGGAAAGUCUGAACGAGCAACGCCGCGGGAGUGAAGAAGGGUUUCGGAUCGUAAAACUCUGUUGGUAGAGAAGAACGUUGGUGAGAGUGGAAAGCUCAUGAAGUGACGGUAACUACCCAGAAAGGGACGGCUAACUACGUG
rnacentral:rRNA from 1 species